rnacentral:rRNA from 1 species
UGCCAGCAGCCGCGCUAAUACGGAGGGGGUUAGCGUUGUUCGGAAUUACUGGGCGUAAAGCGCACGUAGGCGGAUUGGAAAGUUGGGGGUGAAAUCCCGGGGCUCAACCCCGGAACUGCCUCCAAAACUAUCAGUCUAGAGUUCGAGAGAGGUGAGUGGAAUUCCAAGUGUAGGGGUGAAAUUCGUAGAUAUUUGGAGGAACACCAGUGGCGAAGGCGGCUCACUGGCUCGAUACUGACGCUGAGGUACGAAAGUGUGGGGAUCAAACAGGAUUAGAUG